AAUAAUUCAAAAAUCGAAAAAUGCAAAAAAAUCUACGGCUAAAGUCCUACAUAAUAUAAGCGUUAUAUGGAGCUAGAUCUUGGACCCAGGACAUAAUGUCAGCCACCUAUUACAUUUUUUUCCUGAUUAAAAAACUGUGAGCUAACAGGAGGUCCAGUAAUUUGCUGGCGGCUCUGCUCGCCUCAGGUCAGGUCGUGCCCGACAACAACCCCUGCUCCAUCACCAGCUGAGCCAGAACCCAAAGCCAGUAAGAGCC